rnacentral:rRNA from 1 species
GACAAACGCUGGCGGCAUGCCUAACACAUGCAAGUCGAACGGACAGAACAGGGAAUCUUUUCGGUGUGGAACUGGACAGUUAGUGGCGUAUGGCUUAGUAACGCGUGGACAACCUACCUUGUAAAUUCGAAUAACCUCGAGAAAUCCCAGCUAAUAUCCCAUACUAACUUUUUUUCUCAUGAAGUAAGGUUUUACUGCGACCUUAGCGCUGUCCCUACAAGAUUUGUCUGCGUUGCAUUAGCUAGUUGGUGAGGUAAAGGCUCACCAAGGCGACGAUGAGUAGCCGGCCUGAGAGGGUGAACGGCCACAUUGGAACUGAGACACGGCCCAAACUCCUACGGGAGGCAGCAGUAGGGAAUCUUCCGCAAUGGGCGAAAGCCUGACGGAGCAAUGCCGCGUGAGUGAAGAAGGCCUUCGGAUUGUAAAACUCUGUUAUUAGGGAAGAGAGAGUGUUGAAGUAAUUGACAAUACUAGGACGGUAGAUGAGGAGAAAGCCACGGCUAACUAUGUG